UACGUAGGGGGCAAGCGUUUGUCCGGAAUCAUUGGGCGUAAAGAGCGUGUAGGCGGCUCGAUAAGUCUGCUGUGAAAGUCCAGGGCUCAACCCUGGAAGGCCGGUGGAAACUGUCGGGCUAGAGUCCGGAAGAGGCGAGUGGAAUUCCCGGUGUAGCGGUGAAAUGCGCAGAUAUCGGGGAGGAACACCAAUGGCGAAGGCAGCUCGCUGGGACGGUACUGACGCUGAGACGCGAAAGCGUGGGGGAGCAAACAGG
rnacentral:rRNA from 1 species